ensembl:lncRNA
CUCCAGCAUUGGCACAAUCUCAUAAAUUUUCUUCUCAUUCCUUUUCUAUUCUUCUCUCUGUUUGCAUUUCCCCUCCUUUUUAUUGUCCUCCUUAUAAGUGUUUAUCCAUGCUAGCAUUUCGAGUAAUGCUUCUCAUCAAAAAUUUUAAAAAAUAUUUUGAAUAUAUUAAGCCUCAAAAAUGGGGGUCUUGGGGCCGGCCCCGUGGCUGAGUGGUUAAGUUCUUGAGCUCCACUUCAGCGGCCCAGGGUUUUGCGGGUUUGGAUCCUGGGUAUGGACAUGGCACCAUUCGUCAGGCCACGUUGAGGAGGCACCCCACAUGCCACAACUAGAAGGACCCACAAGAAAAUGAAAAUAGCAGCCACGGUUGAGAGCGCUCACUGGCCUAGGUCAAAUAGACCUCAAUUUAAUCUGUGUGCUCCGUUUACCAGCUGUGUGACAUUCAGCAAUUGGCUUAACCUUCAUGAACCUGGAUUUCCUCAUCUGCCAAGCAUCACGCUCUUUAUGAUGACUGUGUCCUGUUCCGUUGUAUAAAUGUACUGUAAAUCAGGAUAGCUACUGUGCUGGACUCCAGGACACAGAUGUAAACAAGACGGACUUAUUCCCACCCUCACAGGUUAUAGUGUAGUAAGGAAUGUAGCCAAUUCCAAUGUAAUGCGACAAAUGCUUUGAUGGAGAAAGACUAGGAGCUAUAUGGAUGCACAGAAUGGGUACUGUCAGUGGUCUCAUGUGAGAAAGGCACAAGAGAGAUUAUCCUGAAGGAAGGGACAUCCAAGAUGAGACCAGAAAGAGUUCGCCAGGCCGAGGAUUAGCCUGUGCAGCUGCAGAGGAAGGAAGAGGGUAAAUGGAAGAGGCAUGUGGUGUGGAGAAUCGUUCUGGUAGAAGGAACAGCAUUUCUAAAGACCUAGAAGUGAGACAGUAGGGUAAAUUUGGGAAGCUAGAAGUAGUUCAACAUGACCGAAGCACAGAAUGCCGUGGAAAAAUGGAAGGAAAUCAGGCUGAAGCUCCUGAGGGGUCUUGCUGUUCCUAAGAAGGUGUUUUCACUUUACUGUCUCGUCCAGGCAGAGCCACCCGGGUAGGUAUGGGGUGCGGUCCCAUUUGCAUUUAGCAGUGUCACUCUGGCCAGAAUGUAGAGGACAGAGGAGAAGGAGCAACACUGGAGGCUACUGCAGGAAUCCAACCUGGAGCCGUGAUGGUGGUGGACAUAGACCCCAGAGAAUGACUGACAAGAUGUUUGACACAGCCUGGUGAUGAGGAGUGUUGUACCUCCAGCUUUGUUCUUUAUUCUCAGGAAUCCUUUGGCAAUUUGGGGUCUUUUGUUGUUCCAUAUAAAUUUUAGGAUUCUUUGUUCUAUUUUGGGAAAAUGUUGGAACUUUGAUAGGGAUUGCAUUGAUAAAUAUAUUUUAAUAAAUGAGAGAGAUUUGUUGUUUUAUUCUCAUUUAUUAUAUUUGCCCAGUUUUGGUGCCAAUGUUAUAUCACAUUUGAAAAUAAUUGGAUAGCUUUUCUUUCUUUUCAGUUCUCUGAGAUAUCUUGUAUGUGAUAGGGAUUUUCUGGUCUUUAAUGACUUGAUAAAAUUACAAUCUGGGCCUGAUGUGCUCUUAGGGAAAGGAUUUUUGAGUUUAAUUUUAAAGUAAGUUUCUUUAAUAACUAUUAAUUUAUUUAGGCUUUCU